CACGUAGGGUGCGAGCGUUGUCCGGAAUUAUUGGGCGUAAAGAGCUCGUAGGCGGUGUGUCGCGUCGGCCGUGAAAACCUGCAGCUUAACUGUGGGCUUGCGGUCGAUACGGGCAUCACUGGAGUUCGGCAGGGGAGACUGGAAUUCCUGGUGUAGCGGUGAAAUGCGCAGAUAUCAGGAGGAACACCGGUGGCGAAGGCGGGUCUCUGGACAUCUCCUGACACUGAGGCACGAAAGCUAGGGGAGCAAACAGG
rnacentral:rRNA from 1 species